CUGACGACCGGCGCACGGGUGAGUAACACGUAUGCAACCUACCUUUUACAGGGGAAUAGCCCAGAGAAAUUUGGAUUAAUGCCCCAUAACAUUUUAAUCUCGCAUGAGAUAUAAAUUAAAGCUUUGGCGGUAAAAGAUGGGCAUGCGUUCUAUUAGUUUGUUGGUGAGGUAACGGCUCACCAAGGCUACGAUAGAUAGGGGUUCUGAGAGGAUAGUCCCCCACACUGGUACUGAGACACGGACCAGACUCC
rnacentral:rRNA from 1 species